rnacentral:rRNA from 1 species
UACGGUGAAUACGUUCCCGGACCUUGCACACACCGCCCGUCAAGCCAUGGAAGCCGGGUGUACCUAAAGUCGGUAACCGUAAGGAGCCGCCUAGGUAAAACUGGUGAAUGGGGCU